AUUGAACGCUGGCGGCAGGCCUAACACAUGCAAGUCGAGCGGUAGAGAGGUGCUUGCAUCUCUUGAGAGCGGCGGACGGGUGAGUAAUGCCUAGGAAUCUGCCUAGUGGUGGGGGAUAACGUUCGGAAACGGACGCUAAUACCGCAUACGUCCUACGGGAGAAAGCGGGGGAUCUUCGGACCUCGCGCCAUUAGAUGAGCCUAGGUCGGAUUAGCUAGUUGGUGAGGUAAUGGCUCACCAAGGCGACGAUCCGUAACUGGUCUGAGAGGAUGAUCAGUCACACUGGAACUGAGACACGGUCCAGACUCCUACGGGAGGCAGCAGUGGGGAAUAUUGGACAAUGGGCGAAAGCCUGAUCCAGCCAUGCCGCGUGUGUGAAGAAGGUCUUCGGAUUGUAAAGCACUUUAAGUUGGGAGGAAGGGUAGGUAACCUAAUACGUUGCUACUUUGACGUUACCGACAGAAUAAGCACCGGCUAA
rnacentral:rRNA from 1 species